UAGAAAGCUGAAAAUCAUGGAAAAUGAGAAACUUCCACUUGACAACUUGAAAAAUGACGAAAUCACUGAAAAACGUGAAAAAUGAGAAAUGCACACUGUAGGACCUGGAAUAUGGUAAGAAAACUGAAAAUCACAGAAAAUGAGAAAUACACACUUUAGGACGUGAAAUAUGGCGAGAAAAACUGAAAAAGGUGGAAAAUUUAGAAAUGUCCACUAUAGGACGUGGAAUAAGGCAAGAAAAAUGAAAAUCAUUGAAAAUGAGAAACAUACACUUGAAGACUUGAAAAAUGACGAAAUCACUGAAAAACGUGAAAAAUGAGAAAUGCACACUGUAGGACCUGGAAUCUGGCGAGAAAACUGAAAAUCACGGAAAAUGAGAAAUACACACUUUAGGACGUGAAAUAUGGCGAGGAAAACAGAAAAAGGUGGAAAAUUUAGAAAUGUCCACUGUAGGACAGGGAAUAUGGCAAGAAAACUGAAAAUCAUGAAAAAUGAGAAACAUCCACUUGACGUCUUGAAAAAAGACGAAAUCACUGAAAAACGUGAAAAAUGAGAAAUGCACACUGUAGGACCUGGAAUAUGGCGAGAAAACUGAAAAUCACGGAAAAUGAGAAAUACACACUUUAGGACGUGAAAUAUGGCGAGGAAAACAGAAAAAGGUGGAAAAUUUAGAAAUGUCCACUGUAGGACAUGGAAUAUGGCAAGAAAACUGAAAAUCAUGGAAAAUGAGAAACAUCCACUUGACGUCUUGAAAAAAGACGAAAUCACUGAAAAACGUGAAAAAUGAGAAAUGCACACUGUAGGACCUGGAAUAUGGCGAGAAAACUGAAAAUCACUGAAAAUGAGAAAUACACACUUUAGGACAUGAAAUAUGGCGAGGAAAACUGAAAAAGGUGGAAAAUUUAGAAAUGUCCACUGUAGGACAUGGAAUAUGGCAAAGAAAACUGAAAAUCACGGAAAAUGAGAAAUACACACUUUAGGACGUGAAAUAUGGCGAGGAAAACAGAAAAAGGUGGAAAAUUUAGAAAUGUCCACUGUAGGACAUGGAAUAUGGCAAGAAAACUGAAAAUCAUGGAAAAUGAGAAACAUCCACUUGACGACUUGAAAAAUGACGAAAUCACUGAAAAACGUGAAAAAUGAGAAAUGCACACUGUAGGACCUGGAAUAUGGCGAGGAAACUGAAAAUCACGGAAAAUGAGAAGUACACACUUUGGGACAUGAAAUAUGGCGAGGAAAACUGAUAAAGGUCGAAAAUUUAGAAAUGUCCACUGUAGGACUUUGAAUAUGGCAAGAAAGCUGAAAAUCAUGGAAAAUGAGAAACAUCCACUUGACAACUUGAAAAAUGUCGAAAUCACUGAAAAACGUGAAAAAUGAGAAAUGCACACUGUAGGACCUGGAAUAUGGCGAGAAAACUGAAAAUCACGGAAAAUGAGAAAUACACACUUUAGGACGUGAAAUAUGGCGAGGAAAACUGAAAAAGGUGGAAAAUUUAGAAAUUUCCACUGUAGGACAUGGAAUAUGGGAGAAAACUGAAAAUCAUGGAAAAUGAGAAACAUCCACUUGACGACUUGAAAAAUGACGAAAUCACUGAAAAACGUGAAAAAUGAGAAAUGCACACUGUAGGACCUGGAAUAUGGCAAGAAAACUGAAAAUCACGGAAAAUGAGAAAUACACACUUUAGGAUGUGAAAUAUGGCGAGGAAAACAGAAAAAGGUGGAAAAUUUAGAAAUGUCCACUGUAGGACAUGGAAUAUGGCAAGAAAACUGAAAAUCAUGGAAAAUGAGAAACAUCCACUUGACAACUUGAAAAAUGACGAAAUCACUGAAAAACGUGAAAAAUGAGAAAUGCACACUGUAGGACCUGGAAUAUGGCGAGAAAACUGAAAAUCACUGAAAAUGAGAAAUACACACUUUAGGACAUGAAAUAUGGCGAGGAAAACUGAAAAAGGUGGAAAAUUUAGAAAUGUCCACUGUAGGACAUGGAAUAUGGCAAGAAAACUGAAAAUCAUGGAAAAUGAGAAACAUCCACUUGACGACUUGAAAAAAGACGAAAUCACUGAAAAACCUGAAAAAUGAGAAAUGCACACUGUAGGACCUAGAAUAUGGCGAAGAAAACUGAAAAUCACGGUAAAUGAGAAAUACACACUUUAGGACGUGAAAUAUGGCGAGGAAAACAGAAAAAGGUGGAAAAUUUAGAAAUGUCCACUGUAGGACAUGGAAUAUGGCAAGAAAACUGAAAAUCAUGGAAAAUGAGAAACAUCCACUUGACGACUUGAAAAAAGACGAAAUCACUGAAAAACGUGAAAAAUGAGAAAUGCACACUGUAGGACCUGGAAUAUGGCGAGAAAACUGAAAAUCACGGAAAAUGAGAAAUACACACUUUAGGACGUGAAAUAUGGCGAGGAAAACUGAAAAAGGUGGAAAAUUUAGAAAUGUCCACUGUAGGACAUGGAAUAUGGCAAGAAAACUGAAAAUCAUGGAAAAUGAGAAACAUCCACUUGACGACGUGAAAAAUGACGAAAUCACUGAAAAACGUGAAAAAUGAGAAAUGCACACUGUAGGACCUGGAAUAUGUCGAGAAAACUGAAAAUCACGGAAAAUGAGAAAUACACACUUUAGGACGUGAAAUAUGGCGAGGAAAACUGAAAAAGUUGGAAAAUUUAGAAAUGUCCAUUGUAGGACAUGGAAUAUGG
rnacentral:lncRNA from 1 species